AGGCUGCUGAAUACUGUACCCGGAACGCACCCGGUUGCAGACGCUGCCCAACCAACCAAAAUUGGCAGUAUACAGGAGUUUCGAGUCUGAGAGAUGCUCGGGAAGCAACUUUGGGAACUUGCUGGAAGGCAUCAUGUAAAUGAUACACACUAUGACUUUAUGUAUCUCAGCAUCUAAGUCUCAAGCCUUACUCUCCAAUAAAAUUAUAUUGAAGGAGGUUCAAGAAAGAAGAAAUAAAAAUGGUAAAACAACCUCAAAUCCAGGUUCACUGAAAAUCCCAGGAAACUGUGAUACCAAUCUUGGUUUGUUGGUAUGUUGUCCCUGCUCACCAAGUUAAUCAAAUUUAGUUCUGAAUUUACUUAGUUUUCUUCAGUUAUUUUAGUUAUACAUUCAAAAUAAUAUUUCACUAUAAAGCUGGAGACCCUGUCAUAUUGUUGUAACAAAGGCAAAAUAAAUUAAUUUCAGAACCAUAAUUCAAACCAUUAGGAAUAUGAGAAAUCUUACCUGUGCGUUACUGCUUUGUUUCCAAAUCAACUGGGAACAGUCUCUCUAACCUGCAAAGCUGUAUCACCCACUCUCAUCAGCCAUGAAGCACCUGUACCUACUUAGUGGCAUUUGAAUAAACUGGUACAUUGUUUUAAAAUGUGCAAAACAAAAUGAAGUGAUGCAAUUAUUCAAUUUUAUUUCAAAACUCUUUAAAAAUCAACUGUAUGUUCUUGCAUGUGUGAAUUGUCUUGUAAUUAUCACAAAGAUAAACUCAGUGGAAGGUUGCAUUAACGCAUUAACUUCACAGCAUGUCUCCCUACAUUUUGAUCUAUCUUGAUUUUAUUUUUUCAGUGUGGCUACUAAUAAAUGUAUCAUGUGAGAAAUUGGAAGCAGCAGCCAAAGCCCAGAGUAAAUUAGCUUUGUAAAUACUGACUAUAUAUUGUUCAUCAUAUAUAACAACAGCUACUUGGUGUUCUGAAUCCAAUCAAAUUAGGAACUUCGUGGAAAAAAACUGUCAAAAUCUUAUUUUUAAACAAGUAGCAUUUUGAUUAGAAUUUACAUUCACUCAUGUGCUUACCUGUACUAAGUUUUGUAUUUCUUCACCUCAGGUUCACAUCAUUUAAACUUCUUAAUUUAAAAGUGUCGACAGGUGUUUUACAUAACUAAGGAAAGGUAUUAACUGUCAGCCUCCCAGCUGACAUCUGAUCAUUCUGUUUUGUUCCUUGUCCGCUCAGAAUUCUGCACAAAAUCAACACAUCAGCCAAAAUCUAAAUGAGACAGUUGACUAAUAUUUCCAUCUCCUGUAUAUUAUCCAAAUCACUUGAAGCAGAAAAGUGUCCUCAAUGUACCAGAAGCCUGCAGAAAUCUAAUCUCCGAGAAACUCAAUCUCCUACUCUGUACACUAUUGUCGACAACCUCAAGCAGCACGUUGCUUUAGGCAAGGCGAAGAUAUAAUUGAAUUUCUAAAAUAGCCAUCUGUCUACUCAUGCUUUUAAUUACUGAUAGGUUGUGCUUUAGGAUUAUAAAAUUUUAAAUGGCUUAACAUUGACAUUAAAAAUUGAGAUUGGUUCAAUUAGCCAUUAUUCUACAGAACCAAUCUCUUACAAGAAGUUCAGGUGGUGAAAAGACCAAACUACAAAUCUCUAUUUUAUUUGGCACUAGCACCUUAACAACCCCCCAUCGAUCUACCUAAUAAAUAUGGUAAGUUAUUUGUUUUUGCUGUAUCUUUCUUUUAAGAAGUGUUACUAUUGUACUAUUUAUUAAACUGUACACAGAUCCUAUUUGCUCACAUUAGCCUAUAUUCCUCAGCACCUUUCCUAUCCAAGUACCUGUCCAAAUAAUUUUUGAGCAUUGCACCUGUAUCUGCCUCAACCACCUCCUCUGAUAGCUUAUUCCAGAUAUUCACUACCUUCUGCAUAAACACAUUAACUCUCAGUCUCCUUUAAAUUUCUCUCCCUUUCAUCUUAAACCAGUACCCUCUAGAUUUACACUCUGUUUCCUGGGAAAAAGAUUCUAUCUAUCCAAUCUAUGGACCUCUUCAUUUAUAAAUUUAUAUAAGGUCAUGACUUGGUCUCCAAGGGUUCAGUAAGAAUAACCCUAGCCUGUCUGAUCUUUCCUUAUAACUACAGCCCUCUAUUCCGGGCAACAUGCCUGUGAGCCUCUUCUGCACUAUUACUACCACAUCCUUCCUGGAAUGUGGCAACCAGAAUUGUACAUAAUAUGUGGUCUAAUCAAUGUUUUGCAUAAAUGCAACAUUAUACUCAGUGCCUUGGCCUAUGAAAGCAAGCUUACCAAAUGCAUUCCUCUCUACCCUAUCCACCUGUAGCAGCACUUUCUGGGAGCUAUAAAAUUUGCACAUCAAGGUCCCUCUGUAUAUGAACACUGAGGCCUCUGCAAUUUCCUUUGGCUGCCCCAACAUAAUUUGACCUCUCAAAGUACCUUAUCUCCCAUAGGACAUGGGCAAGCAGCCCUUUUGAUGGUGACCAUUGGAGUCACUCACCCCGAGUACCCACUCCUGCAUUGGGCUUCCUACAUUACGUGUUACACUGUCAGAUCACAAUAAUGUAAAAGCUUGUGCUUACAACUGGAUUUAUUGUUACUCUCUUUCUCCACCAGGCUGAAUAAUAAAUCUCUGCAGCAGGGGUGCUGCAUGGCCUCAGUCAUAGUGAGUGCCAGGCCUCAGGUUGCCCAGUGCACUCUGCCAGGAUGCCGGGGCAGCCUGGCAUCCAAGCUGGAGUUGGUGCUACCACCAGUGUUUGCUUGGCAGAAGACAAGCUGAUAUUGUGUUUGACUGCAGACUGCUGCAGCAUUCAGUCUUGGACCAUAUUUUUUGUGUCUGUAAUUUACUUAUAUCUUAUAUGUGCCUUGUGCUGUGUAUGACUGUUAGUACUGUGCUUUGAACCUUGGUCCCAGAGUAACACUGUUCGGUUUGGCUGUAUUCAUGGGUAUUUAUGUAUGGAACAAUUAAACUUGAACUCCUGAUUACUGCAUUGCAUAGGAAAGUUUACAACAUGCAUUUCAGGCAAAACAAAUACAACUCUGUCAUCUCUGGUCUACAGAGUAUCAGUCAAGGAUAAUGCACAGUCUAAGUGAGGCAAUAUGAAGUCGACUAAAGAAUGCAGCCAUUCCAAAGGAUAGUUUUCAGUUGGGGUUCUCAAUUAUCAGUCAUUUAUGGCAGCUGGUUCUCAGCUUAGCAGUCAUGUUGAAGUGAAGCAUUCUGAGGAAAGGAUUUUGAUCUGCAACACCAACUCUUGUCUCUGCAGCCUGACUUGUUGAGCAAUUUCUGUUGGUAGUUAUUGAGACCAAGAAGAAAGAAGAAAGCCUUUAACUCCGAGUCGAGUCAUUGGGAUCGGGACGCCAUCAUGACAGCGUUCUUUUAGCAGGCUUUCUUAUUUUUACGAGGCCGAGUUGCUAGCUUGGCGCUCAACCCAGCACGGAUGGAGAGCGUGCAAGGGAGCCGGCUGGAUUCAAACUCGGGAGCCUUCACCCUGAAGUCCGGCGCUGAUGCCACUACACCACCAUCCAGCCUAACAGAGACCAAACUGGUGUGCAAUUUGUGGGUGCAUACAGGAUAACGUUGCACCCAGUAUCAAUUUUUAAUGUGGAAAAUUAAUGUCACUUUGAGAGUGAAUAAAAGUUGCUGUACAAACUAGAUUGAUGGUUUUGGCCAAGUUUGUGGACAAUAAGUGGUUGGCAGGUAGUGUUGAGGAAGUAGGGAGACUGCAGAAAGACUUUGGCAGAUUACAAGAAUAUGCAAAGAAGUGGCAGAUGGUAUAGUGUAAGGAAGUGUAUGGUCAUGCACUUUGGUAGAUGGAAUAAAGGCAUGGACUAGUUUUUUAAAUGGCGAGAAAAUUCAGAAAUGGGGAUGCAAAGGGACUUGGGAGUCUUUGUGCAGGAUUACUUAAAGAUUAGAUAGUAAGGAAGGCAAAUGCAAUAUUAGCAUUCAUUUUGAGAGGACGCGAAUAUAAAAGCAAGAAUGUAAUUCUGAGGCUUUAUAAGCAUUGGUCAGACUGCACUUGGAAUAUUGUGAGCAGUUUUGGGCCCCAUAAUCUAAGAAAGGAUGUGCUGGCAUUUGAAAGGGCCCAGAGGAGAUUCACGAGAAUAAUCCUGGAAUGAAAGGAUUAACAUAUGAAGAGCUUUUGAUGGCUCUGGACCUGUACUCACUGGAGUUUAGAAGAAUGAGGGGUAUCUCAUUGAAAUGUAUCAAAUAUUGAAAGCCUAGAUAGUGGAUGUGGAGAGGGCAUUUCUUAUAAUGGAUGAGGGGUAAGUCGAGGACCAGAGAGCACAACCUCAGAAUACAAGGACAUCCCUUCAGAAAAGAGAAGAGGAAUUUCUUUAACUAGAAUAUGGUGAAUCUGUGGAAUUCAUUUCCAUGGAUAUUGCAGAUGCCAAGUCAUUGGGGAGAGUUAAAGCAGAGGUUGAUAGGUUCUCGAUUAGCAAGGGUGUCAAAGGUUAAAUGGAGAUGGCAGGGGAAUGGGGUUGAGAGGGAUUAUAAAUCAGCCAUGAUGGAAUGGCAGAGCAGCUGCAAUGGGCUGAAUGGCCUAAUAUGUUUUACAGUGCAGAACACUAUCUGUAUGUGCAUUUAAUAGUAAAAAUUGUCCAAAAAUGUAGCUAUACUACUAUAGUAGCUACUACUAUACUAGUAGCUAUACUACAACACAUAAGCAUUACUAUUUCUCAAUUUUCUCAGAGUAUUUAAUUGCAGUUCAUUUUUAAGAAUUUCAGUUACUGAUCGUCAGUUCCAGUAAGGGUCUGAACCAUUUCAAAUGUUACAAGCAAUCUACAGUCAAUGCCAAACACACUAGUUAACCAGUGUCACAGAUGUUUGCUUUGUACAUCUUAUAAUGCAAUAUGGAAGCAACAUCUUACACUUUUAAAUUAAUAACAAAAGAAUAUAAUAUACUUUAAAUCUGAUAAUUACCAUAAAAUGAAAUAAAUUUAGGGAUUGCAAUGCAGAAUUUUAUGCUGUGGAUUGUAUUUUCAUAGUGCUGCCCUUCCACUUAUUAGGAAAUGAUUGGUUAUAAAGAAAAUCACCGCCAAGGUAAAAUAUUUCCAAAGAUAACAUUUUGAUAAAAAAGACAUGUAAUACAUUUUCCCUGAAACUGAAGCUCCCUCCAGUGGUAAGAUUGGACAUAAAGGAUACAAAAUAUUCAAUUCAAGAUCAUCCCUAAAAAGUUAAAGGUUCAAAGCAAAUUUAUUAUCAAAGUACAUGUACAACCUUGAGAUUCAUUUUCUUACAGGCAUACUCAAUAAAUUUAUAGCAUAAUAACCAUAACAGAAUCGAUUAUAGACCGCACUAACUUGGACAUUCGGUCAAUGAGUAAAAGUCAACAGACUGCAAACACAAAAUAAUAAGAAAUAAAUAAGCAAUAAACAUCAGUAACAUGAAAAGAAGAGUCUGUGAAAGUGAGUCCAUAGCUUGUGGGAACAUUUCAGGGCAAGUAGAGUGAAGUUAUCACCUUUGGUUCAAGAGCAUGAUGGCUGAGAGUAAUAACUGUUCCUAAACUUAGUGGUGUGAGUCCUAAGGUUCCUGAAGGUAGCAGUGAGAAGAGAGCAUGUCCUAGCUGAUGGGGGUCCUCAAUGAUGGAUGCUGCUUUCCUGCAACAGAGUUUCAUAUAAAUGUGCUCAACGGUGGGGAAAGCUUUGCCUAUGAUAGACUGGGCUGUAUCCACUACUUAUUGUAGGACUUUACAUUCAAGGGCAUUGGUGUUUCCAUACCAGACUGUGAUGCAGCUGGUCAAUAUACUCUCCACUACAUAUCUAUAGUGGAUGUGUAUUUGAAUGCACAUUCAAAUGAUUGUAUUCAAAUACUUUUAUUUGAAUACAAGUUCAAAUGUCAGGAAUGUUGAGUCUAUUAAGAACCAGCUAUCCAUAAUCACCAGUAACAGGGUUUUCUCACUACUUAAAGACAGGUUAUAAUUGGCAAAUCCAUUGCUUAUCUCCCAUCUCUGGCUAGUUAUUAACGAAUCCUCUUGAUCUGCUACACAAAGAAAUUAGGUGGAGUUGCAAGAUUUUUCCUGCAGGAAUAGGGUCUAGCAGUCUGUACUCCGAUGAUAAUGGCAAACAACUUGAAAGGGAAAUUGAAUGUAGUAGCCUUUAAGGCUUGCUGCCUACAGGUUGAUAAGAGUGCCCUUUGUAAUGCUACACCUUGGAAAUAUUUGCUUGAUGGCAGGGAGGGUGUUAAUGUUUAACCUGAUUAUCAUACUUCUUAUUGACAGCUGGAACUACACAUAGCCAGGGGAUUGCAGAGUACUUCCUCACACCUCUACUUUAUGAUGGUGAUGCCCCCAAGAUAUUCUGAAUGUUGAGUAACUCACACAGAAUUUAUAACCCUUGAUUCACACCUAGUGAAUUUGGUCAUAGUAUUAAGAAAGCUCUCCUCCUGUAAGCUGUAUGGAAGGGUGGGGGAGAGGGCAAGGUUGCAUAUCUUAGGGAGGCAGUUAGACUCUCUACUGGCAGAAAGUAAUACUUACUGGCACUUAGAAUAUUACAAUAUUUGAUACUAUUGAACUCAAGCAAUGUUAGCUAGAUGCUUUGAGAUUUACAAAUAGCAUAUUGUGGAAUUUUAAUUAUUGAAAAGGGAAGGUCAUUGAAUAAAGAACUGAAUGAUCAGACCUGAAAGACAGUUUGGGGAACUCUUGCAGCGACAGACUGGGACUAUAAUGAUCACCCUUCCCUUUUUCAGAUUUAAUGAGCAACUUCCAUAAAGCUGUUUGAUCUCAUUCACGUUUAUUUCAGGACAACUCCUCUUCACGUUGUGGCAGCACAAUUGGUCUGAUCCAUCAGCUUCUGAUGUUUAGGAUGCAACUAUCAUGUAUUAUGCUUUAGGUUACUAUCUUACUAUUUCUAUAUACAUCUGAUGCAGAAGUGCUGAAAUCACUUUAUGCCAAUGAGCAUUGGUAGGAAGGGAAACACUUCGAAUAGCUCGGGUGAAAGACCUUUAGUCAGAACUCUCCUACUGAGAUGGAAUGGGAGGAGAAAGAGAAAACAGAAGUAUAGAGGGAUAGGACAAGUAACAGGUAGAACAGAUAAAAGGGAAAUUAUGGAGGAAAGGUGAAGAAUGGGAAAGUUGUGGGGGGGGGGUGGAGUUGGAAUGGGAAGGGACAGAACAUACAAGAGUUUUAUUGAGGAUACGUGCUUUGUCUGCAAUGGCCACCUUGAGCUUCCACUUACAUGCCACUUCAUCCCACUUCCAUUCCCACACUGACCUGUCACUCCUUAGCUUUCCGCACAGAGGUGAAAUCCUAGCUACAAGAACACCACCUAAUUUCACUGUGUUCCUUACUACUCACUCCCAGUAAUCUUGGCUUCUCUCCCCUUUUGCUUAUUUUUUUUCUAUUUACCCCACUUGGUCUCAUCUGCCUGUCAUUUCCCUCUUCAUACUGCCCACCACCUCCAUUCUGCUAAGCUUCUGGAUUCUAGCCAUCUUUCCUCUUCUUCCCCUAUCCUGACCUGAGGCGUCAACUCCUUCCUCUUUUGCCUCUGCAAUGGCAUUAUAACGUCAAAAUCCAAAGGGAGAUAAUUAAACUAGAUCAUUUAUCUUUCCACAACUAUACAGAAAAGAAAUGGACUUGUGUAGGCCUAAUCAUUAACAACUUCUAAACUACUACUGAGCUUCCUUAUAUACAUGCCAUGCUAGUUCAUGAGUUAGAAACGAGUAGCAAUGACAUGACUAAAGAAUAUGGGCCCAACAUCAUGAACAGCAAAACUUUCCUUUCACCAUCCUGCUCUACCUCCCAGUGUCAUUGGAGCUUCUGUAUUCCCCAAAUCACAAGAGGAAAACAGAAGCUGUGUUUUGUCAAUGGAAACACUUCAAUUGAAAAAUAAGCUGUGUUCAAGAAUUUGAUGCAAGAAGA